GACGAACGCUGGCGGCGUGCUUAACACAUGCAAGUCGAACGGAAAGGCCCUGCUUUUGUGGGGUGCUCGAGUGGCGAACGGGUGAGUAACACGUGAGUAACCUGCCCUUGACUUUGGGAUAACUUCAGGAAACUGGGGCUAAUACCGGAUAGGAGCUCCUGCUGCAUGGUGGGGGUUGGAAAGUUUCGGCGGUAGGGGAUGGACUCGCGGCUUAUCAGCUUGUUGGUGGGGUAGUGGCUUACCAAGGCUUUGACGGGUAGCCGGCCGGGGAGGGUGACCGGCCACAUUGGGACUGAGAUACGGACCAGACUCCUACGGGAGGCAGCAGUGGGGAAUAUUGCACAAUGGGCGGAAGCCGGAUGCAGAAACGCCGCGUGCGGGAUGACGGCCUUCGGGUUGUAAACCGCUUUCGCCUGUGACGAAGCGUGAGUGACGGUAAUGGGUAAAGAAGCACCGGCUAACUACGUG
rnacentral:rRNA from 1 species